CCAUCCUUGACUAAUCCUCCCGCUGUAGCAUCCCCUGGUUGGCCUUUAACACUGCCAUCAAUGUUCAGUUUCACAUAAGGGUGAUCUGGCUUAACCCAGGGAACAAGAAUUUUAGACCUCAUUCUCAGUUGUUGACAAUGCAAAAUGUCCAAAGCCUCCUUGGCUUUAGCCCAUAUCUACUGAGAUGCAUUUUUUGGGUACUGAAAAGAUUCCUCGAAUAGACUUAAAUUCCUCUAAUACCAG
rnacentral:lncRNA from 1 species